rnacentral:rRNA from 1 species
GUCAAUAGCCUAACGGCUGAACCAGCAACUUGGAAGAACGAAAAACCGAAGUCACGAGCGGUUACCAUAUUAAUAGAAUGUGGGGCAUUAGAUGCUAAUAGUUCAAAAUAAAUUUUGAUAAUGACACAGUUUAUUUUUAAGGUCUUGACCAACUCAUGUGCCAGCAGUCGCGGUAAGACAUGGAAGGCUAGCGUUAUUCAUCUUUAUUAGGUUUAAAGGGUACCUAGACGGUAAAUAUAAGCUUUUUUAAGAAAUUGGGACUUUAUUUACUAGAGUUUAAUGUAAGAAAUUCAGAACGGCGAGUGUAGGGAUAAAAUCUGUUGAUACCGUUUAGAAACUGGUUUAGGUGAAGACAGAUUUCUAUGUAUAAACUGACGUUGAGGGACGAAGGCUCAAAUUAAAGAAACGGGACUAGUUACCCCAGUACCAAGAGCAGACAAUGAUGAAUGUCAUAUGUAAGAAAAAAUUCUUUUAUGUAUAAAUGAAAAUGUAAGCAUUCCACCUCAAGAGUAAUAUGGCAACAUAUAAACUGAAAUCAUUAGACCGUUUCUGGAACUCGUAAUGAAGUAUGUUAUUUAAUUAGAUAAUCCACAAAGAACCUUACCACAGUGUGAAUAGUUAUAUACGUAAGUAUAUUUCGGACAAGUGUUGCACGGCUGUCUACAGUUGAUAUCGUGAGAAUUGAUUAGCUUCAUAAAUCAACGGAAUCCCUGACUUUAAUUAAAUUAAAGUACUAAUUUCAGCAUAUGAAACCGUAUCUGAAUUUAAUAUAUGGGAACAUGACAAGUCAUCAUGGCCAAACAUAUAAAUUGAUAGUAUUGUGGGCGAUAAACGUGCCACAUUUUACCUUAACAAAAAGAUGCAAAGUUUUAAGAUUUAGCUAAUCUUUAAAAAAGGAUAUAUUAUGGAUUG